rnacentral:rRNA from 1 species
GGCUCUGGCCAUACCAUCCUUAACACACUGGAUUUCAUUUGAUCUCAGAAGCUAAUCAAGAUUGGCCCUAGAUAGUACUUGGAUGAGAAACACCUGCAAAUACCAAGUACUGUAGGCU